AAAUUUUAAAUUGGCCUCGUGGACCGCGCACACCUAGUGCUCCCCGAUGAGCUCCGCCCCCUCUUCGUCUCCACCGGCUCUGCCGACCCCUCCCCCCGCUCCUCCGACAUGCCCCCGCCUAACUUCAUGCCCCCCGCCUCCCUCUUAUCCUCCUCCUUGGUCCCGUUUGCCGGCAUGCUCUUGCUCCCGGCGCCGGCCAAGGCGGCGGAGGAGGAGGAGGAGGACGACGAGAGCGGCGACUCGCGGGCCGUUUUUUUUGUGCGAAUGAGGCGAGGCUUCUUGGGGGCGAAGGUGGAGGCGGAGGAGCCGGCGCCGAGGUUGGCGAUGGCGGUGAGCUGCUGGCGCUCGCGGCGGCGGGCGGCGGCGGGCGGCGAGCGGCGGGCUUGAUCGAAAGUAAUGAUAUUAAGUUGGCAGAAAAAGAAAGGAUAAUUUAAGGAAAUAGUUUAAUAAGAUAGGGGUAAAAUAGGUAUUUUAAUUAGGUUUUAACUCUAGUAUACAUUUAACCCGAGUUUGUUUAACAGGGGAUAACUAUGGGGGUAUUUUAGAAUAACGGUGGAACAUAUGAGAGGUAUUUUAGAAAGAAAAAAAAAGUAGGGGCAAAUCGGAUAUAUUCAAACGCAUGAAGGGUAUAUUAGCAAUUAUCCCUUAAAAAUAUGAGGACUUUUACAAAAACAACAUAUGAAAGUUAAACUUUGUCUAACCCAAGAUGCCAAUCCAGUAAAGUUACAAUAUCAGCUAUUAAAGUUGUAAAUUUUAAGACCAUUUUAAUAGAGUGAGGCUACUAUGCUAUCGGAAGCACGGAGCCUUCCGUGCUUCCAGCUCGUUUUCGAUGUUGCGACUUUCGAAUCGUCGAUCGGCUCCGUUAAACUUGAUCUAGAGUAUUUGGAGUACCUAGAAAAUAAAUUUUAUUAUUUUACGAUAUCAUUUGCCUAGUGAACGAAGGGGCUCAAAAUCAACGGCUGAAAAUAAAAAUCUUACAAAAUGUAAUAAUAUGACAUUAAAAUUUUAAAUCAAAGAUAUUGAUCUUGUUUUAUAUAGUAUAAAGAAUUUUCUAUCAAAAUUUCACGUGAUUUGGAUAUUUCUACACCGUUAAACUUGCAAGCGGCUCACUACGGCCAUUAAAAUUUGUUGAUUUUGAGCACAUUCGAUCACUAGGCAAAUGAUAUCGUAAAAUAAUAAAAUUUAUUUUCUAGGUACUCCAAAUACUCUAGAUCAAGUUUAACGGAGCCGAUCGACGAUUCGAAAGUCGCAAUAUCGAAAACGAGCUGGAAGCACGAAAGGCUCCGUGCUUCCGAUAGCAUAGUAGCCUCACUCAUUUUAAUAUGUCUCUUAUAAAGAGAGAUCUAAUUAAUUUAGCAUGCUUUUAUUUCUAAAAUUCUGAAUCAUCUCCGCAUCAUAAAUGCAAACCACAAAAUCCACCGACGCAUGCAACGAAACAAAAAACCCACCUAUUCUAACAUUUCCAACCCUGACACAAAAUAAGACAAAAUGCUGGGCAACUGAGAGGGACUACUUCUGUUAUCCUGACAAAAAGGAUAGCCUCCACAUACACAUACAGGUGGGGACUGGUGAGAUGCAUGAAUGUGAUAUAUAUUUUUAUAAUUUAUUUUAAAAAUUGGUAUAUCAGUAGAUAAAAAGUGUGAUUAAAUAUCUAGAAUUCAGCCUACGAAUCAUUUUUUGGGAUAACAUAAAUCAAUUUGUAAGUAAUACUAUCAAAACUUUUCAAAGAAUAAUAAUCAAACUCGUUUCUUACCAUCACACUAGAAAAUCAUUGUACCGAAUAAGUUAUUCAAUGAUAACGUAUUUCGACUUUCAAAGAGAAUCUUACUUUUAUGUUUUAAGCUCUGUUUAGAUGUUUGAAUGAGUAAUCUAAGAAUAACUUAAUCGGUAUGAGAUUUUUCUAGUAUGAUUGUACCUAAUUAAGGAGUUUGAUUUUUAUUUAUUUAAAGAUCGUGCUGUCCAUAAAUUGGUAGGAUAUUAUACUUUUCCUAUAAAGUGAUUUAUCUUAUUUUAGAAAAAUGACUUGAAGGCCGAAUAUGAUAUUCCAUUUUAAAUAUUUAAUAGCACUCUUUAUCUGCCAAAUGUAUAAAUUUAUUGAGUAAAUUAAGAAGAUAUACCAAACAAAAUUUUCAUGCAUUCAAAUAGGAUCUUAGGGAACAAGUUUUUUAAAAAAAUUUGUAAAAUAAGUAUAUCUUUUGGGAUAUUAAGAAUAAAAAAUAAUUUUAUGUUUGGCCAAGAAUCAUCUUAUUCUUAAGAAUAAAAACAUUGUUUUUGGACAAUUACGGUGGUUUAGUUGAACAAUAAGAAUAUUCUAAUAUAAGAAUAUAGAUACCUUACCAAUUAUAAACAUAUAUAUUAUUGAUGAAAUAAUAAUUAUUAAACCAAUUAAUCAUUUUCCAAGGCUAUAUAUUGUUUGGAUGGAGAAUAUGUGAAGAAUAAGCCGUCUUAUUCCCUUCAUUUUGUCUAACGCUAGAAGAAAUUAUUUUUUUUUGAUUAAAAAUAUUUUUUUUGAUUAAAAAUAAUAUUUUAUUUAGUGUCAAGAUUUUGUUGGGAGGAUAAAAGUUGAGAGUUCGAUUAUUUUUUUAUUUAAAAGUCUUGACAUUUAUGAUUUGGAAUAUAGUUUACGUUAACAAUAAAAUAUUUUAUCCUAUUAUCUUGUAUUUUUAAUAUUGUUGUUACAUUUUAUUAAAAUAUUAAAUUUUUUAUAAUAUCUUGUGCAUUGAAGGUGAUAUAAUAUAUCUUUUAAUUAGUGAGUUUUGAACCUAAGAUAUUUUAGGUUUACACUACUAGACUUACUCUUGUAAAUCCUACAAUUUAUGAACGACACUAUAAAACGUAGCGGAAGUAUUCAUUCGUAUCUUUUUGCCGAAGCGAUUUGCGUUAGACCGCGACAAGUCCGGAUCGUAGAGGUUGAUUCACGUGUCCUCGGAUUGUCCUUGAAUGUCUUCUCACGCUCCACGAACUCGCGGUGGAUCGAACUACAAACGACACGAUUUCCAAUCCACCGUUCAAAAUCCUCUAGAAUAAUAGGUUAAUGGGGGAUUUGGUUUCUUGUUAUGUUUCUUGAUUUUCUUGUUGUAUUUCUUACGUGAGAUUGCCCGUAUAUUUAUAAGUGAUUGUAAAAUCCUCAUAUGUACGUAAGAGAUUGUUAUCCUAAUAUGGUUAGAAUUUAUUUCUAAUUAGCUUUCCAAUUUAAAAGCGAGAUUAAUUCUAAUCUAAUUAGAUAACGUGAUAACGGUCGGAUCCAGCCCGAUUAUGGAUGUACCUGAUUCGAUUUAACUGAAUGCCAACAGACACUUAAUGUCAUGUAACUCUUAUGGUAAGGUGACUAUAAAUUGAGUUUUGCCUUGACUUUGAAAAAUAACAAAAAAAAAAAAAAAGCAACAAUAAAAAAAAGGAAAAACUUCAAAAACCCUCCCUGUGGUUUCGUAAUAUCUCACUUUGCCCCCCUGUGGUUUAAAAUGUAUCAAAUUGCCCCCCUGUGGUUUCGUUUUUAUCUUUUCGGUAGCUUUUUCGUUAAUAUUUCAUUAAAUUAUAUACAAAAAACUUCAGAUACCCAUCUAGAUUUAUCAAAUAUUCACUUUAGUACCCUUUAAUUUUAACUUUAUCACUGAUUUAAGAAAAAAAAAAUAAUGAAUUUGAUAAGAAAAAGAGAAAAAAGAAACCACGGGGGGGGCAAAUUGAUACAUUUUAAACCACAGGAGGACAAAGUGAGAAACUACGAAACCACAGAGGGGGUUUCUGAAGUUUUCCCUUAAAAAAAAAAAUAAUUCUGAGAGAGAGAGAGAGAGAGAGAGAGAACGGCUAAAGAAAUGUGUUUUUUUUUUUUUUUUUUUUUUUUUUUUUUUUUGUAGAGUUUUGGGUUUAUCUAUUUGUGCAGAAUUGGUGAAGCCACAUGACAAGAAUCGAAGUGCUGUAUCCUGAAGGGAACAAUUUAGUGUUCUACUACAGCGAUUCAAAAGCUUUACCAACUAUAGAGAAUUUGAAUACUUUUAAAGAAAGUGAGAAAGUGAGAUUUUCAUGCCUCGAUUUGAUAAAUUCAUCGAUACUUUUUAUAUAUAUAAAUUUGUAGCCUAACUUCUAUUUUUGAAUAUUUUCACCAAAAAAAUAUUAUGUUAAAUUAUAUUAUAUAAAAUAAGUGUAAUUUACAGAUUACUUAAUAAACGAACAGCAAAAUAACAUUUUUUUUAUAUUUUAUAUUUGAUUGAAUGCUAGCUUUAAAACGUUACUCCUCGAAUAAGCCCCAUCGGAAUUGACGUAACAUAGGAACAUAGGAUAGGAUAUGCAGCAGGAAUGGCAUUUACUAUGUAUGCAUGCCGGGAACUGUGGGGAUCGAUAGUAACAGAGGAAGGACAAGCUACUGGUAGGCCCAGCCGCUGCGCCCCAGCAGACCAGAGGAGCAUUGCUCAGCACUAGUGAAGCUAACUUAACUCCAUGCAUGUGUGCACAACUCUCUCUCUCUCUCUCUCUCUCUCUCUCUCUCUAUAUAUAUAUAUAUAUAUACACAGUAUAAAAAAUUUUCUAUCAAAAUUUCAUAUGAUUUGGAUAUUUCUACACCGUUAAACUUGCAAACGGCUCACCACGGCCGUUAAAAUUAUUAAUUUUGAGCCCCUUCGAUCACUAUGCAAAUAAUAUCGAAAAAUCGCAAAAUUUAUUUUCUAGAUACUUCAAAUACUCUAGAUCAAGUCUAACAGAGCCGAUCGUCGAUUCGAAACUCCGAACAUUGAAAACAACGUAGAAGCACGGAACGCUCCGUACUUCCAGAAAGAUACCAUACGCACUAUAUAUAUAUAUAUAUAGAGAGUUCAACUAUGGUGCUUGUAAAAGCACAAAGCACUUGGUGCUUGUAAGUUUUUUACCGUUAGAUCUACUCUUCGGAUCAUUUUCAAUCAUUUGAUUACAUUAUUCAACCAACCACUCACUCAACCCUAGAGGGCCCACAUCAUCAUAACCUCAUAUCUCUUAAUCCAAUGGCUAAAAAUCUAAAAACACCAAUAACUUGGUACUUUUAAAAGUAUAGGAGCCCAAUUACAUAUAUAUAUAUAUAUUACAUUAGCAAUACAUUAGGGGCGCGUUUGGUUCGAAGUCGGAAUCGAAAUCGGAAUCGGAAUCAAAAUAAGCCGGAAUCGGAAUCGGAAUGACUCAUUACCUAAUUCUGUUUGGUUCAUCACCUGAAUCGGAAUCGAAAUAAAUCAUUCCCAUUGUCGGUGUUUGGUUCAGAUGAAUAUAAAAAACGUAAUCAAAUUAAUAUACUAACAUUAUCUUUAUA
rnacentral:lncRNA from 1 species